AGAGCGAACGCUGGCGGCAGGCCUAACACAUGCAAGUCGAGCGCGUGUAGCAAUACACGAGCGGCAGACGGGAGAGUAACACGUGGGAACGCGCCCUUCGGUUCGGAAUAACUCAGGGAAACUUGAGCUAAUACCGGAUACGCCCUUACGGGGAAAGAUUUAUUGCCGAAGGAACGGCCCGCGUCCGAUUAGCUAGUUGGUGAGGUAACGGCUCACCAAGGCGACGAUCGGUAGCUGGUCUGAGAGGAUGACCAGCCUCACUGGGACUGAGACACGGCCCAGACUCCUACGGGAGGCAGCAGUGGGGAAUAUGGACAAUGGGCGCAAGCCUGAUCCAGCCAUGCCGCGUGGAUGAUGAAGGCCUUAGGGUUGUAAAGUCCUUUUAACGGGGAAGAUAAUGACGGUACCCGUAGAAUAAGCCCGGCUAACUUCGUGCCAGCAGCCGC
rnacentral:rRNA from 1 species